rnacentral:rRNA from 1 species
CCUACGUGUGGCAGCAGUGGGGAAUAUUGCACAAUGGGGGAAACCCUGAUGCAGCGACGCCGCGUGAGUGAAGAAGUAUUUCGGUAUGUAAAGCUCUAUCAGCAGGGAAGAAAUAAAGUCCUUCGGAUUUGGGACGGUACCUGACUAAGAAGCCCCGGCUAACUACGUGCCAGCAGCCGCGGUAAUACGUAGGGGGCAAGCGUUAUCCGGAUUUACUGGGGGUAAAGGGAGCGUAGACGGCAGCGCAAGUCUGGAGUGAAAUCCCAUGGCUUAACCAUGGAACUGCUUUGGAGACUGUGCGGCUGGAGUGCAGGAGAGGUGAGCGGAAUUCCUGGUGUAGCGGUGAAAUGCGUAGAUAGUAGGAGGAACACCAGUGGCGAAGGCGGAUUACUGGACUGUAACUGACGUUGAGGCUCGAAAGCGUGGGGAGCAAACAGGAUUAGAUACCCCAGUAGUC